GUUGAAUUUGUAGUAAUGAGAAUGAAGGUCCGGAUUGCAAUUGCCCUGCUCCUGGCAACCCUGAUGAUCGUUACUCAUGCACUUGCAACGCCGUUCCUCAGGCUGAAGGUGCCAACGGCCUCGUUUGAUUUCAAAAACCAAUUUCAGAAAUUCUGGGCUCGAUGGAGGCCCCACCAGGACGACCGCUACUGGCAUGGCUUCGACAUCGACGGAUACACGAAGAACGGUUAGGCCUAAGGAUCCCGAGAGGAGCUCCGUGGGAACUUCCGGUA
rnacentral:lncRNA from 1 species